rnacentral:rRNA from 1 species
UAGGGAAUCUUCCACAAUGGACGCAAGUCUGAUGGAGCAACGCCGCGUGAGUGAAGAAGGGUUUCGGCUCGUAAAGCUCUGUUGUUAAAGAAGAACGUGGUAAGAGUAACUGUUUACCCAGUGACGGUAUUUAACCAGAAAGCCACGGCUAACUACGUGCCAC